UACGUAGGGGGCUAGCGUUGUCCGGAAUCAUUGGGCGUAAAGAGCUCGUAGGCGGCUUGUCGCGUCGGCUGUGAAAACCCGCGGCUCAACUGUGGGCGGGCAGCUGAUACGGGCAGGCUGGAGUUCGGUAGGGGAGACUGGAAUUCCUGGUGUAGCGGUGAAAUGCGCAGAUAUCAGGAGGAACACCGGUGGCGAAGGCGGGUCUCUGGGCAAUAACUGACGCUGAGGAGCGAAAGCGUGGGGAGCGAACAGG
rnacentral:rRNA from 1 species